rnacentral:rRNA from 1 species
UACGGAGGGUGAGAGCGUUGUCCGGAAUCACUGGGCGUAAAGGGCGCGUAGGCGGCGCGGAUAGUCGGCGGUGAAAGCCCGGAGCUCAACUCCGGGUCGGCCGUCGAUACUUCUGGGCUUGAGCACUGUAGAGGCAGAUGGAAUUCCGGGUGUAGCGGUGGAAUGCGUAGAGAUCCGGAAGAACACCGGUGGCGAAGGCGGUCUGCUGGGCAGUUGCUGACGCUGAUGCGCGACAGCGUGGGGAGCAAACAGG